GAUGAACGCUGGCGGCGUGCCUAAUACAUGCAAGUCGAGCGAACAGACGAGGAGCUUGCUCCUCUGACGUUAGCGGCGGACGGGUGAGUAACACGUGGAGAACCUACCUAUAAGACUGGGAUAACUUCGGGAAACCGGAGCUAAUACCGGAUAAUAUAUUGAACCGCAUGGUUCAAUAGUGAAAGACGGUUUUGCUGUCACUUAUAGAUGGAUCCGCGCCGCAUUAGCUAGUUGGUAAGGUAACGGCUUACCAAGGCAACGAUGCGUAGCCGACCUGAGAGGGUGAUCGGCCACACUGGAACUGAGACACGGUCCAGACUCCUACGGGAGGCAGCAGUAGGGAAUCUUCCGCAAUGGGCGAAAGCUUGCCGGAGCAACGCCGCGUGAGUGAUGAAGGUCUUCGGAUCGUAAAACUCUGUUAUUAGGGAAGAACAAAUGUGUAAGUAACUAUGCACGUCUUGACGGUACCUACUCAGAAAGCCACGGCUAACUACGUG
rnacentral:rRNA from 1 species